rnacentral:rRNA from 1 species
AUUGAACGCUGGCGGCAGGCCUAACACAUGCAAGUCGAGCGGAUGAGUGGAGCUUGCUCCAUGAUUCAGCGGCGGACGGGUGAGUAAUGCCUAGGAAUCUGCCUGGUAGUGGGGGACAGCGUUUCGAAAGGAACGCUAAUACCGCAUACGUCCUACGGGAGAAAGUGGGGGAUCUUCGGACCUCACGCUAUCAGAUGAGCCUAGGUCGGAUUAGCUAGUUGGUGAGGUAAAGGCUCACCAAGGCGACGAUCCGUAACUGGUCUGAGAGGAUGAUCAGUCACACUGGAACUGAGACACGGUCCAGACUCCUACGGGAGGCAGCAGUGGGGAAUAUUGGACAAUGGGCGAAAGCCUGAUCCAGCCAUGCCGCGUGUGUGAAGAAGGUCUUCGGAUUGUAAAGCACUUUAAGUUGGGAGGAAGGGCAGUAAGUUAAUACCUUGCUGUUUUGACGUUACCAACAGAAUAAGCACCGGCUAACUUCGUG